rnacentral:tRNA from 3 species
GGUCCCAUCGUCUAGUGGCCUAGGACACCGGCCUCUCACGUCGGUAACACGGGUUCGACUCCCGUUGGGACCGCCA